rnacentral:rRNA from 1 species
GCGUGAGUGAUGAAGGCCUUAGGGUUGUAAAGCUCUUUUACCAGGGAUGAUAAUGACAGUACCUGGAGAAUAAGCUCCGGCUAACUCCGUGCCAGCAGCCGCGGUAAUACGGAGGGAGCUAGCGUUGUUCGGAAUUACUGGGCGUAAAGCGCACGUAGGCGGUUACCCAAGUCAGAGGUGAAAGCCUGGAGCUCAACUCCAGAAUUGCCUUUGAAACUAGGUAGCUAGAAUCUUGGAGAGGUCAGUGGAAUUCCGAGUGUAGAGGUGAAAUUCGU